GACGAACGCUGGCGGCGUGCUUAACACAUGCAAGUCGAACGGAAAGGCCCUGCUUUUGUGGGGUGCUCGAGUGGCGAACGGGUGAGUAACACGUGAGUAACCUGCCCUUGACUUUGGGAUAACUUCAGGAAACUGGGGCUAAUACCGGAUAGGAGCUCCUGCUGCAUGGUGGGGGUUGGAAAGUUUCGGCGGUUGGGGAUGGACUCGCGGCUUAUCAGCUUGUUGGUGGGGUAGUGGCUUACCAAGGCUUUGACGGGUAGCCGGCCUGAGAGGGUGACCGGCGUCAUUGGGACUGAGAGAGGGCCCAGACUGCUACGGGAGGCAGCAGGGGGGAGUAUUGCAGAAUGGGCGGAAGCCUGAUGCAGCGACGCCGCGUGCGGGAUGACGGCCUUCGGGUUGUAAACCGCUUUCGCCUGUGACGAAGCGUGAGUGACGGUAAUGGGUAAAGAAGCACCGGCUAACUACGUG
rnacentral:rRNA from 1 species